rnacentral:rRNA from 1 species
GACGAACGCUGGCGGCGUGCUUAACACAUGCAAGUCGAACGGAAAGGCCCUGCUUUUGUGGGGUGCUCGAGUGGCGAACGGGUGAGUAACACGUGAGUAACCUGCCCUUGACUUUGGGAUAACUUCAGGAAACUGGGGCUAAUACCGGAUAGGAGCUCCUGCUGCAUGGUGGGGGUUGGAAAGUUUCGGCGGUUGGGGAUGGACUCGCGGCUUAUCAGCUUGUUGGUGGGGUAGUGGCUUACCAAGGCUUUGACGGGUAGCCGGCCUGGGAGGGUGACCGGCCACAUUGGGACUGGGAUACGGCCCAGACUCCUACGGGAGGCAGCAGUGGGGAAUAUUGCACAAUGGGCGGAAGCCGGAUGCAGCAACGCCGCGUGCGGGAUGACGGCCUUCGGGUUGUAAACCGCUUUCGCCUGUGACGAAGCGUGAGUGACGGUAAUGGGUAAAGAAGCACCGGCUAACUACGUG